GCAAGUCGAGGGGUAACGGAAGUAGCUUGCUACUAGACGACGACCGGCGCACGGGUGAGUAACGCGUAUGUAAUCUGCCUUGUACAGAGGGAUAGCCCAGAGAAAUUUGGAUUAAUACCUCAUAGUAUUACUGAAUCGCAUGAUUUGGUAAUUAAAGCUCCGGCGGUACAAGAUGAACAUGCGUGACAUUAGCUAGUUGGUAAGGUAACGGCUUACCAAGGCCACGAUGUCUAGGGGUUCUGAGAGGAUGAUCCCCCACACUGGUACUGAGACACGGACCAGACUCCUACGGGAGGCAGCAGUGAGGAAUAUUGGUCAAUGGACGCAAGUCUGAACCAGCCAUCCCGCGUGAAGGAUGACUGCCCUAUGGGUUGUAAACUUCUUUUAUAUGCAAAUAAACCUACUUUCGUGA
rnacentral:rRNA from 1 species